CCUACGGGAGGCAGCAGUGAGGAAUAUUGGUCAAUGGACGAGAGUCUGAACCAGCCAAGUAGCGUGAAGGAUGACUGCCCUAUGGGUUGUAAACUUCUUUUAUAUGGGAAUAAAAUGUUCCACGUGUGGGAUUUUGUAUGUACCAUAUGAAUAAGGAUCGGCUAACUCCGUGCCAGCAGCCGCGGUAAUACGGAGGAUCCGAGCGUUAUCCGGAUUUAUUGGGUUUAAAGGGAGCGUAGGUGGAUUGUUAAGUCAGUUGUGAAAGGUUGCGGCUCAACCGUAACAUUGCAGUUGAAACUGGCAGUCUUGAGUACAGUAGAGGUGUGCGGAAUGCGUGGUGUAGCGGUGAAAUGCUUAGAUAUCACGAAGAACUCCGAUUGCGAAGGCAGCUCACUGGACUGCAACUGACACUGAGGCUCGAAAGUGUGGGUAUCAAACAGGAUUAGAUACCCCGGUAGUC
rnacentral:rRNA from 1 species